UACGUAGGGUGCAAGCGUUGUCCGGAAUUAUUGGGCGUAAAGAGCUCGUAGGCGGUCUGUCGCGUCGGAUGUGAAAAUCCAGGGCUCAACCCUGGACCUGCAUUCGAUACGGGCAGACUAGAGUUCGGCAGGGGAGACUGGAAUUCCUGGUGUAGCGGUGAAAUGCGCAGAUAUCAGGAGGAACACCGGUGGUGAAGGCGGGUCUCUGGGCCGAUACUGACGCUGAGGAGCGAAAGCGUGGGGAGCAAACAGG
rnacentral:rRNA from 1 species